ACAGGGCCAGUCACAUUUUCAGCUGAAUGUAGCAAACAUUUCCACCGACUCUAUCACAAUACCAGGGAUUGCUCAACACCAGCCUACUACAAAAGAUGUGCUAGAUUGCUAACAAGAUUAGCAGUGAGUCCACUGUGUUCACAGACAUAGAAGACCUACCCUGCAUUUCUUAAGAAUCUGAAGCAAAAAAAAAAAACACAAAAAAAUGAAAGACCUAAUUUGAAUCAUAUCAAAUGAAAAAAGAGUUGAAACUCCUAGUUUUAUAGUGUAUCAUGAUGAAUACAAUAAGAGUCUUUAUAUUUGUCUGUGUCAUACCACAGAAUGGAGUCUUCCUUGGUUUAUCUUUGUGUAUUCAAUAGUUUGAUUAUUUUUUUUAAAACAAAGCUUUAAUCACAUAUUGCAAAUAGAAUAUUAAACAUUAUGCUAUUUUAUUUUGCUAGAUAUAUAUUAUUUUCUUACAUGGUUAAUAUUCCAUACAUGUAUGAAUUAUAUAUUUAUGUAAAUUAUGUCUGAGAAUACCAACAAAUUAUUUUUUUGUAUAUGAUUUUUAGUAAUAUGUUGAAUAGUCAUUAUGAAGUCCACUUAAAUAAUUCUUACUUAAUAAUAUUUAAAUACAUUUAUUCAGAAUUUUUGUCUUUAUUUGCAUUAAUUUGAAAUAUGAAUUUUAUU